AUUGGACGCUGGCGGAAUGCUUUACACAUGCAAGUCGAGCGGCAGCACGGGGGCAACCCUGGUGGCGAGCGGCGAACGGGUGAGUAAUACAUCGGAACAUGCCCAGUCGUGGGGGAUAACACUUCGAAAGAAGUGCUAAUACCGCAUACGUCCUGAGGGAGAAAGCGGGGGAUCGCAAGACCUCGCGCGAUUGGAGUGGCCGAUGUCAGAUUAGCUAGUUGGUGGGGUAAAGGCCUACCAAGGCAACGAUCUGUAGCUGGUCUGAGAGGAUGAUCAGCCACACUGGGACUGAGACACGGCCCAGACUCCUACGGGAGGCAGCAGUGGGGAAUUUUGGACAAUGGGGGCAACCCUGAUCCAGCCAUUCCGCGUGAGUGAAGAAGGCCUUCGGGUUGUAAAGCUCUUUCGGCAGGAACGAAACGGCGAGCUCUAACAUAGCUUGCUAAUGACGGUACCUGAAGAAGAAGCACCGGCUAACUACGUG
rnacentral:rRNA from 1 species